rnacentral:rRNA from 1 species
AGAGUUUGAUCCUGGCUCAGAACGAACGCUGGCGGCGUGCCUAACACAUGCAAGUCGAGCGAGAAAGCCCGCAAGGGUGAGUACAGCGGCGCACGGGUGCGUAACACGUGGGUAAUCUGCCCUGAAGCCCGGAAUAACCUCCCGAAAGGGAAGCUAAUACCGGAUAAGACCACGGGAACCUCGGUUCCUGCGGGAAAAGGUGGCCUCUGCAUGCAAGCUAUCAUUUCAGGAUGAGCCCGCGGCCCAUCAGCUCGUUGGCGGGGUAACGGCCCACCAAGGCUACGACGGGUAGCUGGUCUGAGAGGACGAUCAGCCACACUGGAACUGAGACACGGUCCAGACUCCUACGGGAGGCAGCAGUGGGGAAUCUUGCGCAAUGGGCGAAAGCCUGACGCAGCAACGCCGCGUGUGUGAUGAAGGUCUUCGGAUCGUAAAGCACUGUCGGGAGGGACGAAUAAGGGCCAGGUGAACAAUCUGGUCCGAUGACGGUACCUCCAAAGGAAGCACCGGCUAACUCUGUGCCAGCAGCCGCGGUAAUACAGAGGGUGCAAGCGUUGUUCGGAAUUAUUGGGCGUAAAGCGCGUGUAGGCGGUCUCGCAAGUCGGAUGUGAAAGCCCUCGGCUUAACCGAGGAAGUGCGUUCGAAACUACGAGACUUGAGUACCGGAGAGGGUGGCGGAAUUCCCGGUGUAGAGGUGAAAUUCGUAGAUAUCGGGAGGAACACCAGUGGCGAAGGCGGCCACCUGGACGGUAACUGACGCUGAGACGCGAAAGCGUGGGGAGCAAACAGGAUUAGAUACCCUGGUAGUCCACGCUGUAAACGAUGAGUGCUA